ACUCAAAGGAAUUGACGGGGGCCCGCACAAGCAGCGGAGCGUGUGGUUUAAUUCGACGCAACACGCAGAACCUUACCCAGAUUUGACAUGCAGCUGCACGCUCCUGAAAGGGAGCCGCCUUCGAGGGGGCUGCACAGGUGCUGCAUGGCUGUCGUCAGCUCGUGUCGUGAGAUGUUGGGUUAAGUCCCGCAACGAGCGCAACCCUUACGACCAGUUACUUGUGUCUGGUUGGACUGCCCUUCGGGGAGGAAGGUGGGGAUGACGUCAAGUCCGCAUGGCCCUUACGUCUGGGGCGACACACACGCUACAAUGCCGUCGAUAGUGCGUUGCGCGCCCGCAAGGGUCAGCGAAUCGCCAAACGGCGGCCCAGUGCAGAUUGGGGGCUGCAACUCGCCCCCAUGAAGGCGGAGUUGCUAGUAACCGCGCAUCAGCAAUGGCGCGGUGAAUACGUACCCGGGCCUUGCACACACCGCCCGU
rnacentral:rRNA from 1 species